AAAUCCUCUUUUGCAAACCAGAACUCAUUGUUCAGUAUAAGUUUUGAUACAUAUAAGAAAGAAU
rnacentral:snoRNA from 1 species